rnacentral:rRNA from 1 species
UACGUAGGGUGCAAGCGUUGUCCGGAAUUACUGGGCGUAAAGCGUGUGUAGGCGGUCCAUUAAGUCGGGUGUGAAAGCCCUGGGCUCAACCCAGGAAGUGCACUCGAAACUGGCGGGCUAGAGUAUCGGAGAGGUUGGUGGAAUUCUCGGUGUAGAGGUGAAAUUCGUAGAUAUCGAGAGGAACACCGGUGGCGAAGGCGGCCAACUGGACGAAUACUGACGCUGAGACACGAAAGCGUGGGGAGCAAACAGG